rnacentral:tRNA from 1 species
GCCUGGCUGGCUCAGUGGGUAAGGCACGUGACUCUUGAUCUCAGGGUUGUGAGUUCGAGCCCCACGUUGGGUG